CCUACGGGGGGCAGCAGUGGGGAAUAUUGCACAAUGGGGGAAACCCUGAUGCAGCGACGCCGCGUGAGUGAAGAAGUAAUUCGUUAUGUAAAGCUCUAUCAGCAGGGAAGAAAAUGACGGUACCUGAGUAAGAAGCCCCGGCUAACUACGUGCCAGCAGCCGCGGUAAGACGUAGGGGGCAAGCGUUAUCCGGAUUUACUGGGUGUAAAGGGAGCGUAGACGGCAGUGCAAGUCUGGAGUGAAAGGCGGGGGCUCAACCCCCGGACUGCUCUGGAUACUGUACGGCUGGAGUGCAGGAGAGGUAAGUGGAAUGCCUAGUGUAGCGGUGAAAUGCGUAGAUAUUAGGAGGAACACCAGUGGCGAAGGCGGCUUACUGGACUGUAACUGACGUUGAGGCUCGAAAGCGUGGGGAGCAAACAGGAUUAGAUACCCGUGUAGUC
rnacentral:rRNA from 1 species